UCUCUCUAAUGGAAAAUCUCUGGUUUUAACUGUAAUCUUUUGUCUUAUAGUUAUUCUUGGUGAAAUCUAAUAUAGAUUACUUGUAGGAGAGGCUGGUUCUGUUCUUGGUCGAGCAGUAACGUUUUGUUAAUUGAUGUAAUCUGUUAAGGGUAUUUUUGAGAGAAAAAAUAUGGUCUGAGGGCAAGAUCUAUCGGAUCUUUUGUGUUGUAAUCCUUGUACUGAUAUUCUUUGUUAGUUUUUUGUGGAUUGGAGCGAUAACCACUUUGGUAGAUGCUCAACGUGGUAAUUAACUCUCUUUUGUGCGAACAUCCGAGCCUUUGGGCAAAAAAUCUUCGAUGUUCUUUAAUAUUCUGUCAAUAGUUUUGGUUUUUGGGGACUGUUAAUACCAACAUCCAUCAACAGUAUUGUCUUGUAUUUUGGGAAUAAGAAUGUAGGGAAAGUUUAAAACUUAAACAAUUCUAUCAAUGGUCUGUUGAUUAAAUUCUCUUUCGUGAAAGAUAACUCUAAUUUGGAACUUUGAAUUUCGUGAAUGUGCAAGCUCACUAUUUUUUGAUUUGUUCUGAUACAUUUAAAAUUAUAUUGCUUAAAAAAUUUACUGCGUUCUUUUAACUGCUUCCUCGACUAUUAACUUCAUUUUCUCUCUCCUUUUAUGUCACUGGGAAUCGUUUAGUACAAGAGAUCUGGUGCAGCUCCUGUGGAACCCGGUGGACUCCCGGGUCAAGUUUGUUCAACUGUCCCCACUGGUCCAAAUGGUGGACAUGGUAGAGGUGCUGUCCCCAUGCAGAAUGGGUUUCGUCCAGGUUAUGGAAUGCCUGUUUGGGGAGCUAAUCCUCCCCUCGAGCUUGCUGCAGCAUUCCGCAUCCAAGAUAUUCCAUCUGAAAAUGCAAAUCUUGGAAAAGAUGCAGGUGCAAACGACUUAGCAAGAGCAUCAGCACUUGAACGGCCCCCUCUUGUAUGUUUUGGAAUCCAUGUUUUCUUUAUGGUUCAUGUUGGAUGAGAUAUGGAAGCUUUUAUUCAUGCUACCUUUAUGCUCCAUUUUGGGAUCUCUAUGGAAUACCUUAGCCACUGUCUUCUUCACUUAAUUCUCACUAGAAAAGUUAAUUUCAGCUUUGCCCAUCAAAAGGGUUCUUUGAAGUUUCUAGUAAUUAACAAACCAACGGUAAUAUUACAGAGUUCAAAAGUAACGUCUCACCAGCUUUCUUUCAUUUGUUACUAGCCUGUUGGCAGAACAAUACUGGUCGAAACUGGAUCCGGCGAUCUUCUCCCAUCUAUUGACACCAGGCGAAUGCAGGUUUCAGAUGCAAUAAUCGAGGUGAGCAACAAAUUCUUUAACAUCAUUGCAUCUGUGUCACACUACUGAUGUUCUCUGGCAAACAGAUUGUGCGUCCGGCAGAUAAUGAUGGCAAGGCUGAGCAACAAGAAAAUGAAGCACAUGUUGGUGAGAAGGAAGAAUCAUAUCCUGCCACCAUCGGGUCAUAGAUGAGUGCAUUUGACCUAUACAUAUUUCAAUACAGAUGUUUCCAAACUUGCUAGAAUAGCUUCCAUACAUUCUAGUCUUAUUACUUGAUAUGAAUGAAGUGUAGCAUUACACAUGUAUAUAGAUUUUCCUUUGCCCAAAGAUUGUAGUGUUUGAAUUCAAGGAAAAACAUUGUCAUGUGUUUUGUCUUUUAAUUGCGUUUGACACUCAGAAGUCAGUUGGGAACUUCUGAUAAUAUUAGUAGGAGAUACCUUUUGAAUCUUUAAUGAAGUAAAUGCUCUUUAAGUCUCUUAGCUUAGUUGAAUUUCAAAAGAUAUCUGGGUAGUAUUAUAUUUGCUUGUGUAAGAAAAAAGCUGUAGUUUUGAAACAUUG
rnacentral:lncRNA from 1 species